rnacentral:rRNA from 1 species
AACGAACGCUGGCGGCAUGCCUAACACAUGCAAGUCGAACGAGACCUUCGGGUCUAGUGGCGCACGGGUGCGUAACGCGUGGGAACCUGCCUUUAGGUUCGGAAUAACAGUGAGAAAUUACUGCUAAUACCGGAUGAUGUCUUCGGACCAAAGAUUUAUCGCCUUUAGAUGGGCCCGCGUUGGAUUAGCUAGUUGGUGGGGUAAAGGCCUACCAAGGCGACGAUCCAUAGCUGGUCUGAGAGGAUGAUCAGCCACACUGGGACUGAGACACGGCCCAGACUCCUACGGGAGGCAGCAGUGGGGAAUUUUCCGCAAUGGGCGAAAGCCUGACGGAGCAAUACCGCGUGAGGGAGAAUGCCUAUGGGUUGUAAACCUCUUUUUUCAGGGAGGAAUAAGAUGACGUGUACCUGAAGAAUAAGCAUCGGCUAACUCCGUG